GAAACCCAGUGUGUUUCGACACACUAUCAUGUCAUGAAUACAUAGUGGCAUGAGGCGAACCGGGGGAACUGAAACAUCUAAGUACCCCGAGGAAAAGAAAUCAACCGAGAUUCCCCCAGUAGCGGCGAGCGAACGGGGAGGAGCCCAGAACCUGAAUCGGCUUGUGUGUUAGUGGAAGCGUCUGGAAAGUCGCGCAGCAAAGGGUGAUAGCCCCGUACACUAAAAUGCACAGGUCGUGAGUUCGAUGAGUAGGGCGGGACACGUGACAUCCUGUCUGAAUAUGGGGGGACCAUCCUCCAAGGCUAAAUACUCCUGACUGACCGAUAGUGAACCAGUACCGUGAGGGAAAGGCGAAAAGAACCCCGGCGAGGGGAGUGAAAUAGAACCUGAAACCGUGUACGUACAAGCAGUGGGAGCACCUUCGUGGUGUGACUGCGUACCUUUUGUAUAAUGGGUCAGCGACUUAUAUUUUGUAGCAAGGUUAACCGUAUAGGGGAGCCGUAGGGAAACCGAGUCUUAACUGGGCGAAUAGUUGCAAGGUAUAGACCCGAAACCCGGUGA
rnacentral:rRNA from 1 species